AGUGAACGCUGGCGGUAGGCCUAACACAUGCAAGUCGAACGGCAGCACAGUAAGAGCUUGCUCUUACGGGUGGCGAGUGGCGGACGGGUGAGGAAUACAUCGGAAUCUACUUUUUCGUGGGGGAUAACGUAGGGAAACUUACGCUAAUACCGCAUACGACCUACGGGUGAAAGCAGGGGAUCUUCGGACCUUGCGCGAUUGAAUGAGCCGAUGUCGGAUUAUCUAGUUGGCGGGGUAAAGGCCCACCAAGGCGACGAUCCGUAGCUGGUCUGAGAGGAUGAUCAGCCACACUGGAACUGAGACACGGUCCAGACUACUACGGGAGGCAGCAGUGGGGAAUAUUGGACAAUGGGCGCAAGCCUGAUCCAGCCAUACCGCGUGAGUGAAGAAGGCCUUCGGGUUGUAAAGCCCUUUUGUUGGGAAAGAAAAGCAGCAGGUUAAUACCCCGCUGUUCUGACGGUACCCAAAGAAUAAGCACCGGCUAACUUCGUG
rnacentral:rRNA from 1 species